rnacentral:rRNA from 1 species
GACGAACCGUGCGAACGUUAUUCGGAAUCACUGGGCUUAAAGGGCGCGUAGGCGGGCCACCAAGUCAGGGGUGAAACCCCACGGCUCAACCGUGGAAGUGCCCUUGAUACUGGUGGCCUCGAGGGAGGUAGGGGCGUGCGGAACUUCCGGUGGAGCGGUGAAAUGCGUAGAUAUCGGAAGGAACACCGGUGGCGAAAGCGGCGCGCUGGACCUCUUCUGACGCUGAGGCGCGAAAGCCAGGGGAGCAAACGGG